GAUGAACGCUGGCGGCGUGCCUAAUACAUGCAAGUCGAGCGAACAGACGAGGAGCUUGCUCCUCUGACGUUAGCGGCGGACGGGUGAGUAACACGUGGAUAACCUACCUAUAAGACUGGGAUAACUUCGGGAAACCGGAGCUAAUACCGGAUAAUAUAUUGAACCGCAUGGUUCAAUAGUGAAAGACGGUUUUGCUGUCACUUAUAGAUGGAUCCGCGCCGCAUUAGCUAGUUGGUAAGGUAACGGCUUACCAAGGCAACGAUGCGUAGCCGACCUGAGAGGGUGAUCGGCCACACUGGAACUGAGAUACGGUCCAGACUCCUACGGGAGGCAGCAGUAGGGAAUCUUCCGCAAUGGGCGAAAGCCUGACGGAGCAACGCCGCGUGAGUGAUGAAGGUCUUCAGAUCGUAAAACUCUGUUAUUAGGGAAGAACAAAUGUGUAAGUAACUAUGCACGUCUUGACGGUACCUAAUCAGAAAGCCACGGCUAACUACGUG
rnacentral:rRNA from 1 species